ACGCUCGACACCUACGGAAGGCAGCAGUGAGGAAUAUUGGUCAAUGGGCGCAGGCCUGAACCAGCCAAGUAGCGUGAAGGAUGACUGCCCUAUGGGUUGUAAACUUCUUUUAUAUGGGAAUAAAGUUUUCCACGUGUGGAAUUUUGUAUGUACCAUAUGAAUAAGGAUCGGCUAACUCCGUGCUAGCAGCCGCGGUAAUCUGAGCGGGCUGGCAAGGC
rnacentral:rRNA from 1 species